rnacentral:rRNA from 1 species
GGGCCCGCACAAGCGGAGGAACAUGUGGUUUAAUUCGAUGAUACGCGAGGAACCUUACCUGGGCUUAAAUGUAUAGUGCAUAAUGUGGAAACACAUUUUUCCUUCGGGACUCUUUACAAGGUGCUGCAUGGUUGUCGUCAGCUCGUGCCGUGAGGUGUCGGGUUAAGUCCCAUAACGAGCGCAACCCUCAUCGUUAGUUGCCAACACGUGAAGGUGGGGACUCUAGCGAGACUGCCGGUGUAAACCGUGAGGAAGGUGGGGAUGACGUCAAAUCAGCACGGCCCUUAUGUCCAGGGCUACACACGUGUUACAAUGGCCAAUACAAAGGGCAGCCACCUGGUGACAGGGCGCUAAUCCUCAAAGUUGGUCUUAGUUCGGAUCGGAGUCUGCAACUCGACUCCGUGAAGCUGGAUUCGCUAGUAAUCGUAGAUCAGCCAUGCUACGGUGAAUACGUUCCCGGGCCUU